UGAGGAAUAUUGGUCAAUGGGCGGAAGCCUGAACCAAGCCAAGUCGCGUGAGGGAAUAAGGCCCUACGGGUCGUAAACCUCUUUUGCCGGGGAGCAAGGGCGGGGACGUGUCCGGCCCGGAGAGUACCCGGNGAAAAAGCAUCGGCUAACUCCGUGCC
rnacentral:rRNA from 1 species